rnacentral:rRNA from 1 species
GUCCACGCCCUAAACGAUGUCAACUAGUUGUCGGGACUUUAUUGUUUUGGUAACGCAGCUAACGCGAGAAGUUGACCGCCUGGGGAGUACGGUCGCAAGAUUAAAACUCAAAGGAAUUGACGGGGACCCGCACAAGCGGUGGAUGAUGUGGAUUAAUUCGAUGCAACGCGAAAAACCUUACCUACCCUUGACAUGGAUCAAAGCCCCAAGAGAUUGGGGUGUGCUCGCAAGAGAAUGGUCGCACAGGUGCUGCAUGGCUGUCGU